rnacentral:rRNA from 1 species
UACGUAGGGUGCGAGCGUUGUCCGGAAUUAUUGGGCGUAAAGGGCUCGUAGGCGGUUUGUCGCGUCGGGAGUGAAAACACCGGGCUUAACUCGGUGCUUGCUUUCGAUACGGGCAGACUAGAGGCAUGCAGGGGAGAACGGAAUUCCUGGUGUAGCGGUGAAAUGCGCAGAUAUCAGGAGGAACACCGGUGGCGAAGGCGGUUCUCUGGGCAUGUCCUGACGCUGAGGAGCGAAAGCGUGGGGAGCAAACAGG